UGAGUACGAGACGCUAAGGCGUCGAAGUAGUGUAUGUCAUACUUCCAAGAAAAGCUUGCACUGUCAUUCAUAAAAAAUGCCUGUACCAUAACCGACACAGGUGGGUAGGUAGAGUAUACUAAGGGGCGCGAGAUAACUCUCUCUAAGGAACUCGGCAAAAUAACUCCGUAACUUCGGGAGAAGGAGUGCCUUAUUUAUAUAAGGUUGCAAUAACAAGAUCCAAGCAACUGUUUACCAAAAACACAGGUCUCCGCUAAGUCGCAAGACGAUGUAUGGGGGCUGACGCCUGCCCAGUGCCAGAAGGUUAAAGAAGUUGGUUAGCAAUAGCGAAGCUAGUAACUGAAGCCCUGGUGAACGGCGGCCGUAACAAUAACGGUCCUAAGGUAGCGAAAUUCCUUGUCGGGUAAGUUCCGACCCGCACGAAAGGCGUAAUGAUUUGGAUAUUGUCUCGGAGAGGGACUCGGUGAAAUAGACUUGUCUGUGAAGAUGCGGACUACCUGCACCAGGACAGAAAGACCCAAUGAAGCUUUACUGUAACUUGAAAUUGAAAUUGGACUUUAUUCGCGCAGUAUAGGUGGGAGGCAUUGAAAAUAAUCUUGCGGGAAUAUUGGAGCCAUCAGUGAGAUACCACUCUUGUAAUGUUAGAUUUCUAACUUUGAAUCAUUAUCUGGUCAAAGAACAGUUUCAGGCGGGCAGUUUGACUGGGGCGGUCGCCUCCCAAAUGGUAACGGAGGCGUACAAAGGUUUCCUCUGAACGGGUAGAAAUCGUAUCUAGAGUGUAAAGGCAAAAGGAAGCUUGACUGUGAGACCUACAAGUCGAGCAGGGACGAAAGUCGGUCUUAGUGAUCUGACGGUACUGAGUGGAAAGGCCGUCACUCAACGGAUAAAAGUUACUCUAAGGAUAACAGGCUGAUCUCCCCCAAGAGUUCACAUCGACGGGGAGGUUUGGCACCUCGAUGUCGGCUCAUCGCAUCCUGGGGCGGUAGUACGUCCCAAGGGUUGGGCUGUUCGCCCAUGAAAGCGGUACGCGAGCUGGGUUCAGAACGUCGUGAGACAGUUCGGUCCAUAUCCGGUGUAGGCGUUAGAAUAUUGAGAGGAGCCUUCUUUAGUACGAGAGGACCGAGAAGGACAUACCUCUGGUGUACCAGUUAUCGUGCCAACGGUAAACGCUGGGUAGCUAUGUAUGGAGUGGAUAACCGCUGAAAGCAUCUAAGUGGGAAGCCCACCUCAAGAUGAGUAUUCC
rnacentral:rRNA from 1 species